AGAAACGCCGGCCUAAUAGACGCAUUGCUUCUUCGGGCGCGGGUACAGUUGUGCCAGCAGAAGGAAGAAUUCAACGAUGUAAUAACAACGUCGCGGCUCGCAAUCGGAAAUUUUAGUAAGGAUUUAAGGCUAGAAUGCACCAUCGCCAUUGAUGAAUCCACGCUUCAGUUGGAAAUAUUUACAAAGCGGGUCAAAAACCCUUUAACACCGCAUUAAUUGUUUUGGUUCAGGAAAGCUUAGAUGGAUUCUUUAAAUAACUUAUUUUCCGAUGGUGCAGCUAAGACUUCAAGGGCAGUUGGUAAAUUUCAACCAAAGGCAAAAAAAGGAGGACCCGUUGCCGCAGCCACUUCUUCUGCCCCUUCAUCACAAUCUAACCAUUUGGGUGGUGCUGAUAAACGUGAAGGGACUAGGCUCUCAAGGCUGGACAGUUAUC